UUUAUCGCUGGUCACCGGCAGAGUCGCGAUACCGUUCUCGUCGGUAGUCACCGUCUGCUGACGGGUUGAACCGUCCGGCUCGGUCACGGUAAAG
rnacentral:tRNA from 1 species